rnacentral:lncRNA from 1 species
UAUAUAUAGAGAGAGAGAGAGAGAGAGAGAGAAUUAGGCUACUAUACUAUCUAUAGUACCGAGCUCCGGUACUAUAGUGUUUGUUUUCGAUCUUAGGGCGUUCAAAUCAAUGAUCCACACCGUUAAAUAUGAUCUAGGGUAUAUGAAUUUAUUAGGAAUAAAAUUUUAGUUUUUUUCGAUAUCGUUUACUUAGUAAAUAAAUUAUAUCAAAAUGGACGGUGGAAAUUGAAUAAUCUUUAAAAUUUGAGCAUAGGACUUUUAAAUUUAAGGUCAAGAAUGUUAACCUUAAUCUAUAUAGUUUAAAGUAUUUUCUAUCAAAAUUUGAAGAAAUUUAGAUUCUUCUACACCGUUAAACUCCAAACUCGUCAUAAUAGCCAUUGAAAAUUGACAAUUUUGAAAUAGUUUGAUCAUAAAGUAAACUAUGUCGAAAAAAUAUAAAAUUUUAUUUCUAAAACUUUAAAUACCCUAGAUCAGUUUUAAUAGUGUGGAUCGUUGAUUUGAACGCCCUAAGAUC